AUAUUGGACAAUGGGCGCAAGCCUGAUCCAGCCAUGCCGCGUGAGUGAAGAAGGCCUUCGGGUUGUAAAGCUCUUUUGUUGGGAAAGAAAAGCAGCCGGCCAAUACCCGGUUGUCCUGACGGUACCCAAAGAAUAAGCACCGGCUAACUUCGUGCCAGCAGCCGCGGUAAUACGAAGGGUGCAAGCGUUACUCGGAAUUACUGGGCGUAAAGCGUGCGUAGGUGGUGGUUUAAGUCUGAUGUGAAAGCCCUGGGCUCAACCUGGGAAUGGCAUUGGAAACUGGAUCACUGGAGUGCGGUAGAGGAUGGCGGAAUUCCCGGUGUAGCAGUGAAAUGCGUAGAGAUCGGGAGGAACAUCCGUGGCGAAGGCGGCCAUCUGGACCAGCACUGACACUGAGGCACGAAAGCGUGGGGAGCAAACAGG
rnacentral:rRNA from 1 species